rnacentral:rRNA from 1 species
UACGGAGGGUGCAAGCGUUGUCCGGAUUUAUUGGGUUUAAAGGGUGCGUAGGCGGUUCUUUAAGUCAGCGGUGAAAGUCCAGAGCUCAACUCUGGGAUUGCCAUUGAUACUGAAGAACUUGAGUAUAGUUGAGGUAGGCGGAAUUGACAGUGUAGCGGUGAAAUGCAUAGAUAUUGUCAAGAACACCGAUUGCGUAGGCAGCUUACUAAGCUAUAACUGACGCUGAGGCACGAAAGCGUGGGGAGCAAACAGG